GUACAGAGGGGCAAGGCGUUAUUCGGAAUUAUUGGGCGUAAAGGGCGCGUAGGCGGCUUCGCAAGUGGAAGGUGAAAUCCCUCGGCUUAACCGAGGAACUGCCCUCCAACUGCGUUGCUUGAGGCCGGGAGAGGUGAGUGGAAUUCCCGAGUGUAGCGGUGAAAUGCGUAGAUAUCGGGAGGAAUACCAGUGGCGAAGGCGGCUUCCUGGCCUGUUCUUGACGCUGAGGCGCGAAAGCUAGGGUAGCAACGGG
rnacentral:rRNA from 1 species